AGGGCCCCCCAUCCAGCACAUUUCACCCUGAUCCAUGUGGAGUGUGGCCCCAUCUCCGUGGACUGUUCUGCCUUGGGAUGAUUGGUAUCAAUCCUAGCGUUGAUCUUUCUGCCCGACCCAACCCUGCAGUCUGCACCUGCUUCUAAAACAGAACCAACUCCAAACCCAAGUGCCGUGACGCUGCAGUUGGAACUUGUCGCUACAAACAACUAAGAUGACAUGAGCCACCAGCCUCAUUCCGCACAGUGACCUCAGCCGGGACUGUACAGCUUUUGGAAAAGGAGGAGAGAGACUUUCAAGUGACCUGGCUGGAGCUCAGGCUACCGUGGGACCAGAGUGAGAGUCGCAGGGACCGUGAGAAGAGGAGAGGCUGCUAAGCCACACCCAGACAUGGUGGGGCAUUGUACAGGGAGUCCACUGGCAAGAACUUUCAUAGAAAUGCUGGGGCCUAUGUGAACAAUGGAGAAUAUUUACAGGUUGUGACUUUGGAAGUGGUGGGCCAGAUCCUCAGCUGGUGUCAAUCAGCGUAACACCAAUCACUUCACUGGAGCCAGGCCUGUUUUCAGCAGUGGAGGUUUUAGUCCAUGGUGUGUCUCGAGCAAAAUGUACCAUUGGGGAUAGUUGUCUUUUUGAUC